UACGUAGGGUGCAAGCGUUGUCCGGAAUUAUUGAGCGUAAAGAGCUCGUAGGCGGUUUGUCGCGUCUGCUGUGAAAACUCGGGGCUUAACCCCGGGCCUGCAGUGGGUACGGGCAGACUAGAGUGCGGUAGGGGAGACUGGAAUUCCUGGUGUAGCGGUGAAAUGCGCAGAUAUCAGGAGGAACACCAGUGGCGAAGGCGGGUCUCUGGGCCGUAACUGACGCUGAGGAGCGAAAGCGUGGGGAGCGAACAGG
rnacentral:rRNA from 1 species